rnacentral:rRNA from 1 species
AGCGGAGGAAAAGAAACCAACAGGGAUUGCCUUAGUAACGGCGAGUGAAGCGGCAAUAGCUCAAAUUUGAAAGCUGGCCCCUUCGGGGUCCGCGUUGUAAUUUGUAGAGGAUGAUUCGGCGAGGGCUCCCGUCUAAGUCCCUUGGAACAGGGCGUCAUAGAGGGUGAGAAUCCCGUAUGUGAUGGGCUGCCUUAGCCAUGUGAAUCUCCUUCGACGAGUCGAGUUGUUUGGGAAUGCAGCUCUAAAUGGGAGGUAAAUUUCUUCUAAAGCUAAAUACCGGCCAGAGACCGAUAGCGCACAAGUAGAGUGAUCGAAAGAUGAAAAGCACUUUGGAAAGAGAGUUAAAAAGUACGUGAAAUUGUUGAAAGGGAAGCGCUUGCAGCCAGACUUGUCCGCAGUUGCUCAGCUUGUCUCCUGACAGGCGUACUCUUCUGCGGCCAGGCCAGCAUCAGUUCGGGCGGUCGGAUAAAGACCUGGGGAAUGUAGCUCCUCUCGGGGAGUGUUAUAGCCCUGGGUGCAAUGCGGCCAGCCUGGACUGAGGAUCUCGCUUCGGCUAGGAUGCUGGCGUAAUGGCUGUAAGCGGCCCGUCUUGAAACACGGACCAAGGAGUCUAACAUCUAUGCGAGUGUUUGGGUGUCAAACCCAUGCGCGUAAUGAAAGUGAACGGAGGUGGGAACCCUCACGGGUGCACCAUCGACCGAUCCUGAUGUCUUCGGAUGGAUUUGAGUAAGAGCAUAGCUGUUGGGACCCGAAAGAUGGUGAACUAUGCCUGAAUAGGGUGAAGCCAGAGGAAACUCUGGUGGAGGCUCGCAGCGGUUCUGACGUGCAAAUCGAUCGUCAAA